rnacentral:rRNA from 1 species
UAGUCCACGCCCUAAACGAUGGAUACUAGUCGUCGGAGUCCCUAAUUGCUUCGGUGACGUAGCUAACGCGUUAAGUAUCCCGCCUGGGGACUACGGUCGCAAGAUUAAAACUCAAAGGAAUUGACGGGGGCCCGCACAAGCGGUGGGGCAUGUGGUUUAAUUCGAUGCUACGCGAAAAACCUUACCCAGGCUUGACAUCCCGGGCUAUCCUGUGAAAGCAGGAGUUCCCUUCGGGGACCCGGUGACAGGUGCUGCAUGGCUGUCGUCAGCUCGUGUUGUGAGAUGUUGGGUUAAGUCCCGCAACGAGCGCAACCCUUGUCGCUAGUUACCAUCAUUAAGUUGGGCACUCUAGCGAGACCGCUUGGCAAUAAGCCAGAGGAAGGUGGGGAUGACGUCAAGUCCGCAUGGCCCUUAUGCCUGGGGCUACACACGUGCUACAAUGGGAGGUACAAAGCGUUGCUAACUCGCAAGAGUGUGCCAAUCGCAAAAAGCCUCCCCAGUUCGGA